GACGAACGCUGGCGGCGUGCUUAACACAUGCAAGUCGAACGGAAAGGCCCUGCUUUUGUGGGGUGCUCGAGUGGCGAACGGGUGAGUAACACGUGUGUAACCUGCCCUUGACUUUGGGAUAACUUCAGGAAACUGGGGCUAAUACCGGAUAGGAGCUCCUGCUGCAUGGUGGGGGUUGGAAAGUUUCGGCGGUUGGGGAUGGACUCGCGGCUUAUCAGCUUGUUGGUGGGGUAGUGGCUUACCAAGGCUUUGACGGGUAGCCGGCCUGAGAGGGUGACCGGCAACAUUGGGACUGAGAUACGGCCAAGACUCCUACGGGAGGAAGCAGUGGGGAAUAUUGAAAAAUGGGGGGAAGCCGGAUGCAGCAACGCCGGGUGCGGGAGGACGGCCUUCGGGUUGAAAACCGCUUUCGCCUGUGACGAAGCGUGAGUGACGGUAAUGGGUAAAGAAGCACCGGCUAACUACGUG
rnacentral:rRNA from 1 species